AUCUAGAAGACGAAACGAAAAGCCAGGGUGUAAAUCCGUGUAAAUUAAGAAGAAAAGUACAAAAGGAAAAGUCAGGACAUAAAAGCUAAUUGUGUGAAAAAACAAAAAGACACGAUUUAAAAGUUAAUUGUGUGAAAACCUAAAGAAAAGGUCAUUUCAGUAAAAAGUUAUUUGUACUAGCAACGAAUACAAAGAAGAGAGAAGCGCUGAAGAGGGUGUUUUAAAAGUUAAAGAAAAGUCAUUUAUGUACAAGAAAAAGGUCCUUGGAGGGGCCUUUUUGUGUUUUGUUCUGGUUUUACCCCAGAUAUUUUUCCCGACAGUUGCUCGUCGCCAGGUCGCCAUUCGAUUUGGCCCAAUAUUCCCCACCCCGCAGGAGCGGUGCUAUACAAUACGCCACAGUCGUGCGGAGUACACCCGAACGUGAUCCCGCCCAGGUUAAUCGGCAGAGAUACCCUGAUACGAGUAGCUGCCAACGCCGGUGUACCCAACCGGUGGUCCGAAGCCGGUGAGCCAAAGCAGGGGAACAGCAAGCAGAAAAAAACCGUACAGCGAGGUCGACCCGCGGAAAAUUGAAAAGAGUACAAUGAGAGUUACACAGGCAGAAAAGCGCAAGUAAACCUAGGUUAAGAGCAAUAUUGUAUCGAAUCGGGAUGAAUAUAUUAUAAGUUAAAUGUAUGUACGCAAGUUUUAUAAUCCACACUAAUUUACACCCGCCACUUACUCCGGUAUUCGUAACUCGAAAGGAGUUUCCACCCCUCGUCGCUACUGAUUUAACGGGAAGGUGCUCUGAACAGAAGCUUUUGAGCAAGUAAUAGUUAGCAAGUACAUGUUUGGCAAAGCUUUCCACCAUGGUCGAGGUCCGCUAGGUGGUUCACUUUCCCUUAGUUCCUGCUCGCAAGAAUAAGAGUUGCGUGGUUGGUAUAGAAGCAGCUUGAGGCUUGCAUUCACUCCCCCAUCCG